rnacentral:rRNA from 1 species
AUGGGGUGACUGCGUACCUUUUGUAUAAUGGGUCAGCGACUUAUAUUCUGUAGCAAGGUUAACCGUAUAGGGGAGCCGUAGGGAAACCGAGUCUUAACUGGGCGAAUGAGUUGCAGGGUAUAGACCCGAAACCCGGUGAUCUAUCCAUGGGCAGGUUGAAGGUUGGGUAACACUAACUGGAGGACCGAACCGACUAAUGUUGAAAAAUUAGCGGAUGACUUGUGGAUGGGGGUGAAAGGCCAAUCAAACCGGGAGAUAGCUGGUUCUCCCCGAAAGCUAUUUAGGUAGCGCCUCGUGAACUCAUCUUCGGGGGUAGAGCACUGUUUCGACUAGGGGGUCAUCCCGACUUACCAACUCGAUGCAAACUGCGAAUACCGAAGAAUGUUAUCACGGGAGACACACGGCGGGUGCUAACGUCCGUCGUGAAGAGGGAAACAACCCAGACCGCCAGCUAAGGUCCCAAAGUCAUGGUUAAGUGGGAAACGAAGUGGGAAGGCUCAGACAGCCAGGAUGUUGGCUUAGAAGCAGCCAUCAUUUAAAGAAAGCGUAAUAGCUCACUGGUCGAGUCGGCCCGCGCGGAAGAUGUAACGGGGCUAAACCAUGCACCGAAGCUGCGGCAGCGACACAUAGUGUUGUUGGGUAGGGGAGCGUUCUGUAAGCCUGCGAAGGUGUACUGUGAGGUAUGCUGGAGGUAUCAGAAGUGCGAAUGCUGACAUAAGUAACGAUAAUGCGGGUGAAAAACCCGCACGCCGGAAGACCAAGGGUUCCUGUCCAACGUUAAUCGGGGCAGGGUGAGUCGACCCCUAAGGCGAGGCUGAAAAGCGUAGUCGAUGGGAAACGGGUUAAUAUUCCCGUACUGGUGGUAACUGCGAUGGGGGAACGGAGAAGGCUAGGUUGUCCGGGCGACGGUCGUCCCGGUUCAAGCAGGUAGGCAGAGUGAUUAGGCAAAUCCGGUCACUUAAUGCUGAGAUGUGAUGACGAACCACCAAGGUGGUGAAGCAAUUGAUGCCCCGCUUCCAGGAAAAGCCUCUAAGCUUCAGGUUACCAACAAUCGUACCCCAAACCGACACAGGUGGUCAGGUAGAGAAUACUCAGGCGCUUGAGAGAACUCGGGUGAAGGAACUAGGCAAAAUGGUGCCGUAACUUCGGGAGAAGGCACGCUGGCGGUAGGUAAAGUCCCUCGCGGACAGAGCUGAAGCCAGUCGAAGAUACCAGCUGGCUGCAACUGUUUAUUAAAAACACAGCACUGUGCAAACACGAAAGUGGACGUAUACGGUGUGACGCCUGCCCGGUGCUGGAAGGUUAAUUGAUGGGGUUAGCGCAAGCGAAGCUCCUGAUCGAAGCCCCAGUAAACGGCGGCCGUAACUAUAACGGUCCUAAGGUAGCGAAAUUCCUUGUCGGGUAAGUUCCGACCUGCACGAAUGGCGUAAUGAUGGCCAGGCUGUCUCCACCCGAGACUCAGUGAAAUUGAACUCGCUGUGAAGAUGCAGUGUACCCGCGGCAAGACGGAAAGACCCCGUGAACCUUUACUAUAGCUUGACACUGAACAUUGAGCCUUGAUGUGUAGGAUAGGUGGGAGGCUUUGAAGUGUGGACGCCAGUCUGCAUGGAGCCAACCUUGAAAUACCACCCUUUAACGUUUGAUGUUCUAACCUAGGCCCAUAAACUGGGUCGGGGACCGUGUCUGGUGGGUAGUUUGACUGGGGCGGUCUCCUCCUAAAGAGUAACGGAGGAGCACGAAGGUUGGCUAAGCAUGGUCGGACAUCAUGCGGUUAGUGCAAAGGCAUAAGCCAGCUUGACUGCGAGAGUGACGGCUCGAGCAGGUACGAAAGUAGGUCUUAGUGAUCCGGUGGUUCUGAAUGGAAGGGCCAUCGCUCAACGGAUAAAAGGUACUCCGGGGAUAACAGGCUGAUACCGCCCAAGAGUUCAUAUCGACGGCGGUGUUUGGCACCUCGAUGUCGGCUCAUCACAUCCUGGGGCUGAAGUAGGUCCCAAGGGUAUGGCUGUUCGCCAUUUAAAGUGGUACGCGAGCUGGGUUUAGAACGUCGUGAGACAGUUCGGUCCCUAUCUGCCGUGGGCGUUGGAAGAUUGAGAGGGGUUGCUCCUAGUACGAGAGGACCGGAGUGAACGCACCACUGGUGUUCGGGUUGUCAUGCCAAUGGCAUUGCCCGGUAGCUAAGUGCGGAAGAGAUAACCGCUGAAAGCAUCUAAGCGGGAAACUUGCCUCGAGAUGAGUCUUCCCUGUCGCUUUAAGCGACCUAAAGGAACGUUUAAGACUAAGACGUUGAUAGGCUGGGUGUGUAAGCGUAGCGAUACGUUGAGCUAACCAGUACUAAUGAACCGUGAGGCUUAACCUG